AGCUAUUGUUUCCUCCCAUCUUCAGAGCCAGUUUACAUCGACAAAAGAAAAAAUUAAAGAAAAUUGAGAUUUCCUUUAAUAAAUACAUAUUAUCAACUUUUUCUCAUAGUCAGAGAUGCUGAGAUGUUCAUGGGUGCCUGAAAGAUGUUGAGGAACAUUCAGAGCCUCCUCCGUGAGAAUAGAUUGCUAUUACCCUAUAAAAUCAUAUUUCAAAUGACUUUUCUUACAGUUGCCAAAGACUCAACUCAUGAUGAUAGAUGCAUACGCAAGGAUUUUUGACAAAUCCUCAAUGUAAAAGAAUAUGAGCAGAGCAGGAUCUUUACAGGAGACUGGAAAAGGAGGUGAUUCCCUCUCCGACUACUCCCCAAUACGUUUCACGCUGUGGCUGGAGAAUAUCUCUGGAAAAAUACCAACAUUUUCUUGAAGUGAAUUUACCUCUUUUAACCUGUGCACUCUGCAAUGCAGCGACACAGUGCCUGUACGUCUCCUCGGCCCAGAUCUUGGGAAACUUGCCUGUUUUGGUGUGCAUCAGAGAGACAUCUGGAUUCUUCUCCUGGAUCUGGCCUUGCUGACAGGAAAUGUCCUCUGACGAUCACAUGGCCCUGCCGAGGUGGAAGACCAAAUCUAUGUAAAUGAUGAAACUACCACAAUUAGUAACCCCCAGAUGGUUCCUUCAUUGGAACCACCACCAACUUUAAAGGUAUGAACACACAUGGGUA
rnacentral:lncRNA from 1 species